UACGAAGGGGGCUAGCGUUGUUCGGAAUCACUGGGCGUAAAGGGCGCGUAGGCGGCUGUUCAAGUCGGGGGGUGAAAGCCUGUGGCUCAACCACAGAAUUGCCUUCGAUACUGGACGGCUGGAGACCGGAAGAGGUCAGUGGAACUGCGAGUGUAGAGGUGAAAUUCGUAGAUAUUCGCAAGAACACCAGUGGCGAAGGCGGCCGACUGGUCCGGUUCUGACGCUGAGGCGGCGAAAAGCGUGGGGAGCAAACAGG
rnacentral:rRNA from 1 species